UUAUGGCCAUAUCAUGUUGAAACACCAGUUCCCAUACAAUCACUAAGGUCAAGCAAUGUUGAGCAAGGUCAGUACCUUGAGGGGUGACCACUUGGGAAUACAAUGUGCUGUAAG